CUGUACGCACAGCAAAUGCGGAAGCGAACCUGCUUACAGAAAGGUUUAGGAUAGUUAUAAAACAGUUGUGGGCUGUUUGGCAAGUGUUGUUCAGCCUAUUUGAUAGUGCAAUACUAGGCUCUGGCCAAUCGAAAGGAGCCUAUGACCACUGCUACCAUUAGUUAGAUAUAUUGUGCUGCACAUAACGAUAACAAUGUUGAAAAUUUAUCACAAAGAGCAUGAUACCAUUCCAAUGCGCUGUUUUUAUAGCUUCAGUCACUGACGAGGCGAGCAAAAUGUUUCAUUAGAGACCGAGAAUGAAACUUUGCUGGUGACAGCUGAGUCACGAACGAGUCGAGCGAUUUCGCAGACGAGCUACUCGUCCGAAAUCCAACCGACUCGCCAUCUGUAAUACAAAAAUUGAUCACUUACUCACUCAGGCCACUACAAAAUAAUAUUCAAGAAACAUGAAAGCUGAAUAACUCUGAACAGAAUAUCGCUUGGACAUAUCCGCAUAGUUUUUCUCGUCAAAUGUGGCCUUCAAUCAGCCCCUGAUAUAUUCCCA